CAUUUUAAUUCCUUCCUGUUUGCUGAUCCUUGCCCCUCAAGGCCCCUCAGCACAAGUCCCUCCCCAGGCACCAGGUAACAUCACCAAGGAGUGUGGAGCCCAUCUGUCACCUGACACCCUAUCUUUAUAGCCAUGACAGCUUGGGCGCUGGCCACCCAGACUCUUGGUGUAACUUCUAGCAACAUUUCCAGAGAGCAGCCCCCACUCCUCUUAAAACCCACCUCUUAACCUUGCAGGAAAGGUAUCUUCUUGAUCAUUUGACUUUGCAAUUUGCUUCAUUUUCCCAUUGGCCAUCUAUUUUUCCGACCUUUUAUGUUUAGAGUGGAUUUAUGGUAAUUAUCAUUUUAGAGUUUUGCAACAUGGCUUGACAUUUAUGGAGACCCACAUGAGUGUCAGAAAUCAUAUAAUCCUUAUCAGAGUCACUGAUUUAGGUUUUAGCCCUUAGUUCUGUUUUGCAUGGUUGAUCACCCCUAAGGUUUCAGAAAAUAAGGUGCCAAGAAAUGUCUCUGCCCUCUUGGGGAAAGGAUUCCUCCAUUUUGGAAAAAAAAAAAAAUCCAUGAUAAAUAACUUAAGACGAUCUAUUUUCUAUUGAUCUAUGGAAAGCUGUUUCCUCUGUAGCUACCACUAUUGGUGUCUAAUUCAGUUCUUGGUCUGCAGGGCUGAGGGUCUGGAAAAUGAUCUAGACACAGAGCAGAGAAGAACCAGGACAAAUUGACCCUGACCAGAAUGGAACAUGCUGAGCACUCUGAUGAAGGUGACACUUUGAAGACAUGUGCCUUGAGCUGACCAGAGACUGGCCAAUGAUAGCAUACACAAGUAUCAGAAGGCUUUUCAGGGCUGAAUUGUCUUCAGAAAACUGUCAAGCUCAACGUCCUGGGUUCCCUGACCCUAAGUGGAAAGCCCAGGGGUCCUUGGGUCACAUAGAGAGUGAUGAAAAGAAGCAACAAGAGGGAAUAGAGGGGAAGGCUUGUUCCAAGCACAAGAGGAAAAUGGCGGCCAUUUCAAAGGAUAAUACCUUUCUGAUCACAGAGAAAAGACCUUCCACAUCAAAGCCAUAGAGACAGCAGGGUUUACAUGGUAAAAUAAACAACUGUAAAUAUAGGACAAAAAUGUUAAAUAGAGGUAAUUGAAGUUUUCUGGAAGUUCAUUAAGUUUCCUUCUGUGGCAAGGAUGACCCUUGAAGGCACCAGGACCAGGACCAUAAUGUGAACGGGAAGGCAGAGCUUCCCCAUGCUGGGUGAGCUGGGCUUCCCGAAGGUUACUGCCAAGCUGCAGGAUGGUCACUGUCAAAAACACAUUUUCAGCUUUAUUUUCUCUCUUGUUCUGAGAGAAACUUUUGGCAAGCAAAAAAAUGGAUGGAUCACCAAGGGAGGGUUAUCAGGUCUGAAGGCUGUUCCAGAUUCAAGCUGUUGUUUGAAGAAGAAAUGUGUUCUUAGAAGCAAGCAGCCCAUUGGACAGCUGUUUCAAGUCCUUGAUCCAAAAAAAAAAAAAGAAAGAAAAAAAAAAGAGA